rnacentral:misc_RNA from 1 species
GUUCAAAACUAGGACAACAACAAAAAUUUUUAGAAUUUAAGGUUCUUCCCCUUUUCUUACAACACUGUAAAGGGAAGUUAACAAAAAGAAAAACGAUAUGCUUAUUCUAUUUAAGAGUCGAUCUAACCGGCAAGCUCUUAGAUGCAUACAUACACAAAAAAUCCAAGUUAACAAGAUUCUGCUCCUAUCUUUGAAAAGGGUCGAAGUAUUGCAUGUCAACAUAGAGAAAAUCAGAUAAAACACAUCUCAAACUAAAAGCAUCUUGAUCAUCAAACAAGACUGACGACGUAAGCUUUAAAUAUUAGAUCAAAUGGAAUAACAUAUGUAUCCUAGAAAAGGGAGGAAGGGAAACAAAGGACGCAAACUCUCAUUUUUACAAAAUAUAAGCAGAAAAGGGCAAUAAAUGAUAAACCGAAAA